CCAGAUGGAGCCAGGAGAUUGUUCACCUGGAGGGCGGUCCAGGUGUUUGGAUUCCAUACACCUGCAAGAAAUCUGCCUCAUCAACUUGGAAUAUAAGAAGAUUUUCCCCUCAUGAUGCCUUGGAUUUUACUCAUUGUGCUGCCUCAGUCCUUCAUCUUCACGCCUGCAAGUUCCUCAAGAAGACUCUCUGGUCUCUCCAACCACUGCUGCCGAUGAACCGCUCCUCCUUCCACUAACCGUGGACUCACUGUCUGCCCUCCUACGCACGCCCCGACUAUCCGCUCACAGCGAUCACGCUGCUCCAUCAAGCAUCUGAACCUGGACCACUUCGUGCUCCGCCCACAAAGGACUCCCCACAGAGGCAGAACAAUCAGCGGCCACAGGAAGGUUGGAGUCUGGUAAAGCUGCAGGCCUGGGGUUCCA